CGACUUUCUGUGUCCAGACGUCUGAGGAUCACAGAGCAACAUGUAGCACUUAAGUCAUUUCACAGAUCAAAGAGGAAUUCAGGAGAACAACAACCAUUCCAGUGGAUCAAACCAGGCAAAAACUUGACAAAUACACACGAAAGCUGAUGAAAGCCAGGGGAGGAGUUUUGGGGCCCAAGACGAGUUUGCUCCUGGACCGACUGAGUCAGAAACAGAGCAUUGAGGUGAGAAGAGAAGCCAUUAUCUCCAGCCUUAUACUGUACCAUGGGAAGAAGGAAUAUGACUUUUUUAGGACUGCUUGUUUACGAUGGCUAAAGCGAUGGCAGUGGUCAGAGGCCACUCUUCAAUAAACAACUGAAAAGAGAAAGAAGUUUGGUUAUUGGAGCGUCGUUGUCUGGCUGUCUAGCCGGCUGAAAAGUUGGGAAAACUCAGGGCGAGGACAGCACAGUGAUGUCAGUAACUCUGUUUUCAAAAUCUGACAGCUAUGAGAUUGUCCCA